GAUGAAGAACGCAGCGAAAUGCGAUAAGUAGUGUGAAUUGCAGAAUUCAGUGAAUCAUCGAAUCUUUGAACGCACAUUGCGCCCCUUGGUAUUCCAUGGGGCAUGCCUGUUCGAGCGUCAUUUGUACCUUCAAGCUCUGCUUGGUGUUGGGUGUUUGUCUCGCCUCUGCGUGUAGACUCGCCUCAAAAUAAUUGGCAGCCGGCGUAUUGAUUUCGGAGCGCAGUACAUCUCGCGCUUUGCACUCAUAACGACGACGUCCAAAAGUACAUUUUUACACUCUUGACCUCGGAUCAGGUAGGGAUACCCGCUGAACUUAAGCAUAUCAUUAAGCGGAGGA
rnacentral:misc_RNA from 1 species